UACGUAGGGGGCAAGCGUUGUCCUGAAUCAUUGGGCGUAAAGCGCGUGUAGGCGGCUCGAUAAGUCUGCUGUGAAAGUCCAGGGCUCAACCCUGGGAUGCCGGUGGAUACUGUCGAGCUCGAGUCCGGAAGAGGCGAGUGGAAUUCCUGGUGUAGCGGUGAAAUGCGCAGAUAUCAGGAGGAACACCAAUGGCGAAGGCAGCUCGCUGGGACGUGACUGACGCUGAGACGCGAAAGCGUGGGGAGCAAACAGG
rnacentral:rRNA from 1 species